AUACGGAGGGUGCAAGCGUUGUCCGGAUUUAUUGGGUUUAAAGGGUACGUAGGCGGCCUUUUAAGUCAGUGGUGAAAGCCAACAGCUCAACUGUUGAACUGCCAUUGAUACUGAAAGGCUUGAGUACUGUUAAGGUAGGCGGAAUUGAUGGUGUAGCGGUGAAAUGCAUAGAUACCAUCAGGAACACCGAUUGCGAAGGCAGCUUACUGGGCAGAUACUGACGCUAAUGUACGAAAGCGUGGGGAGCGAACAGGAUUAGAAACCCCAGUAGUCC
rnacentral:rRNA from 1 species